AGAAACUUAGGUUAAACUAAACCAAGGGCCUUCAAAGCCCCAAACAAGAGCUAGACCCUCUUAGUCUCUG
rnacentral:tRNA from 1 species